GACGAACCGUGCGAACGUUGUUCGGAAUCACUGGGCUUAAAGGGCGCGUAGGCGGGCUGUCAAGUCUGGGGUGAAAUGCCGCGGCUCAACCGUGGAACUGCCUUAGAUACUGACGGCCUCGAGGAAGGUAGGGGCAUGCGGAACUGUAGGUGGAGCGGUGAAAUGCGUUGAUAUCUACAGGAACUCCGGUGGCGAAAGCGGCGUGCUGGACCUUUUCUGACGCUGAGGCGCGAAAAGCUAGGGGAGCAAACGGGG
rnacentral:rRNA from 1 species